CGGCAAGUGUGUGAAGCUACCACAUAAAAAAAAUUUUGAAUAACCGAAAAAGUUGAAGGAAAAAAUAUGAAUAUUUUAGAAUUUUUGGAGUUAUAAGGUGAUAGGAUGAAAAGAUACUCAAAGAGCCACCCCCGGUGCUAUAUUAGUUAAAUCUUUAGUUUGAACGAGUUGCGACAAAUGGAUGUCAAUUUUGCCGAAUUUCUAAAAAACAUUUUUCGUGAACCGUUACAUCUUGAUGGUUUUGAAUCAUUAGAUUAUUUUUGAUAACAAAUUUUGAUGUUUCGAUGUAUUUUGAAAUCUUAUAAUAAUUUAUUUUCAUCAUAAUAAUUUUGGAGUACAAUCUUUAAUUUGUAUGAAAUUAAUUUGAUUUUGAAGAAUUUUUGUGAAAGAAAUUCAAAAUUUUUGAAUUCUGUGAACUGU
rnacentral:lncRNA from 1 species